CUGCGGAAGGAUCAUUAGCAAUGAAAGCCCCCCUUGAGGGGACACCCCAUCACUACCCUUGCCUUUGAGUACCUUCUGUUUCCUCGGCGGGUUCGCCCGCCAAUGGGGACUAAUCCCAAACUCUUUGCAGUAGCAGUGCAGUCUGAAAAAAAAAAGUAAAACUUUUAAAACUUUCAACAACGGAUCUCUUGGUUCUGGCAUCGAUGAAGAACGCAGCGAAAUGCGAUAAGUAGUGUGAAUUGCAGAAUUCAGUGAAUCAUCGAAUCUUUGAACGCACAUUGCGCCCUUUGGUAUUCCAUAGGGCAUGCCUGUUCGAGCGUCAUUUAAACCCUCAAGCUCAGCUUGGUGUUGGGUGUUUGUCCCGCCUGCCGCGCGAGGACUCGCCUCAAAAGUAUUGGCAGCCGGAACGUUGGCUUUGAGCGCAGCAGAAUAGCGCCCCUGGCCUCGUUGUCCGGUUCUCCAGGAAGCCUGUACCUCCAUGUCUUGACCUCGGAUCAGGUAGGGAUACCCGCUGAACUUAAGCAUAUC
rnacentral:rRNA from 1 species